rnacentral:rRNA from 1 species
UACGUAGGUGGCGAGCGUUGUCCGGAUUUAUUGGGCGUAAAGCGCGCGCAGGUGGUGCGGUAAGUCUGUCGUGAAAUCUCCUGGCUCAACUGGGAGGGUGCGGUGGAGACUGCCGGACUGGAGGCACUCAGAGGCCGGUGGAAUUCCCGGUGUAGUGGUGAAAUGCGUAGAGAUCGUAAGGAAGACCAGUGGCGAAGGCGAGUUUCUGGACAGUUACUGACGCUGAGGCACGAAGGCCAGGGGAGCAAACGGG